AACGCUGGCGGCGUGCUUAACACACGCAAGUCGAGCGAUGAGGUUUCCUUCGGGAAACGGAUUAGCGGCGGACGGGUGAGUAACACGUGGGUAACCUACCUCAUAGAGUGGAAUAGCCUUCCGAAAGGAAGAUUAAUACCGCAUAACGUUGAAAGAUGGCAUCAUCAUUUAACCAAAGGAGCAAUCCGCUAUGAGAUGGACCCGCGGCGCAUUAGCUAGUUGGUGGGGUAACGGCCUACCAAGGCGACGAUGCGUAGCCGACCUGAGAGGGUGAUCGGCCACAUUGGGACUGAGACACGGCCCAGACUCCUACGGGAGGCAGCAGUGGGGAAUAUUGCACAAUGGGGGAAACCCUGAUGCAGCAACGCCGCGUGAGUGAUGAAGGUUUUCGGAUCGUAAAGCUCUGUCUUUGGGGAAGAUAAUGACGGUACCCAAGGAGGAAGCCACGGCUAACUACGUGCCAGCAGCCGCGGUAAUACGUAGGUGGCGAGCGUUAUCCGGAUUUACUGGGCGUAAAGGGAGCGUAGGCGGAUGAUUAAGUGGGAUGUGAAAUACCCGGGCUCAACUUGGGUGCUGCAUUCCUAACUGGUUAUCUAGAGUGCAGGAGAGGAGAGUGGAAUUCCUAGUGUAGCGGUGAAAUGCGUAGAGAUUACGAAGAACACCCAGUGGCGAAGGCGACUCUCUGGACUGUAACUGAC
rnacentral:rRNA from 1 species